rnacentral:rRNA from 1 species
AGAGUUUGAUCAUGGCUCAGAAGAACGCUGGCGGCGUGCUUAACACAUGCAAGUCGAGUGCGCGGUUGUAGCAAUACAACUGGCGCACGGCGCACGGGUGCGUAACACGUGGGCAAUCUGCCCUUCGAUGGGGAAUAACUCCGGGAAACCGAAGCUAAUUCCGCAUAACAUUCCUUGGACCUCGGUUCGAGGACUCAAAGCCGUAAGGCGUCGAAGGAGGAGCCCGCGCACGAUUAGCUAGUUGGUAGGGUAACGGCCUACCAAGGCUUUGAUCGUUAGCUGGUCUGAGAGGAUGGCCAGCCACACUGGAACUGAGACACGGUCCAGACUCCUACGGGAGGCAGCAGUGGGGAAUCUUGCACAAUGGGCGAAAGCCUGAUGCAGCGACGCCGCGUGGGGGAUGAAGCAUUUCGGUGUGUAAACCCCUUUCGACCCGGACGAAUGCCUCGCAAGAGGAGUGACGGUACGGGUAUAAGAAGCCCCGGCUAACUACGUGCCAGCAGCCGCGGUAAGACGUAGGGGGCCAGCGUUGUUCGGAAUUACUGGGUGUAAAGGGUUCGUAGGCGGUGUGGCAAGUUGGGAGUGAAAUCUCUGGGCUCAACCCAGAGGCUGCUUCCAAAACUGCUGUGCUUGAGUGUGGGAGAGGCGCGUGGAAUUGCAGGUGUAGCGGUGAAAUGCGUAGAUAUCAGGAAGAACACCCGUGGCUAAGGCGGCUCUCUAGUACGGUACUGACGCUGAGACGCGAAAGCGUGGGGAGCGAACAGGAUUAGAUACCCUAGUAGUCC